rnacentral:rRNA from 1 species
GGCGAACGCUGGCGGCAGGCUUAACACAUGCAAGUCGAACGCCCCGCAAGGGGAGUGGCAGACGGGUGAGUAACACGUGGGAACGUACCCUUUGGUUCGGAAUAACUUGGGGAAACUCAAGCUAAUACCGGAUAAGCCCUUAUGGGGAAAGGUUUACUGCCGAAGGAUCGGCCCGCGUCUGAUUAGCUAGUUGGUGAGGUAAUGGCUCACAAAGGCGACGAUCAGUAGCUGGUCUGAGAGGAUGAUAAGCCACACUGGGACUGAGACACGGCCCAGACUCCUUCGGGAGGCAGCAGUGGGUAAGAUUGGAGAAGGGGGGCAACCCUGAUCCUGCCAUGCCGCGUGAGUGAUGUAGGCCUUAGGAUUGUAAAGCUCUUUUACCAGGGACGAUAAUGACUGUACCGGGAGAAUAAGCCCCGGCUAACUUCGUGCCAGCAGCCGCGGUAA